GAGCAGAUGAGAAUAGCAGAAAAACGAACGAAUGAAUAUUUUUCCAUAGAGUGGAUUAAGACCCUAAAAAUAAUAACUACGUGGUUGGUGAUUCACAAGAGCCAUAUCUAAUCAAACCACAGCGGUUUUGGUCAGGUUUUUUUGUGUGUUAUUGUUCCUGUUUGAAGUUUGAACUUGAAGAGGAGUUUCUUCUGUUGAGUGUGUGUGUGCGCGGAGACUACACACACGCCCAGGACACAAGAUGGUGAGCCAGACACGCGGACUUUGUUUCUAAAGACAAGAGUUCAUCUUCAUCAUGCUAGUGAGAGGAUCCGCUGCGCGUGGACGGACUUUUGGUAAACUUUUUGCCAGAGCGGUAGGAGUAUUGGAUUACAUUUCUUCUUCUUUUCAAACUGAACUGAUCUGGAGUACAUAGAAACUGAACUCUGAACUGAUCUGGAGUACAUAGAAACUGAACUCUGAACUAAGUAGGCUACACAGAAACUGAACUUUGAACUCUGAAUUGAAGUGUUGCAUUUUGUAUUUUGUUCUUCAUAAUUGUCAUUGUUGUGAUUAGAGGUAUAAGUGUUACACUUCAUUUUGAUUUAGAAAGGUGUAAUUAUUCUCUUACCUGUGAGAAGAGAAAAAAAAGAGUUAACUCAGGAAGAUAAUUGAACCAAAAUAAAUUAACCUUAAAUAAGAUAGUUACAGACCGGUCUAACAUAACUAAACUAUCUAAACUAAACUAAAUAAACCAUCUAACUAGGGUGGGUGGCCUGAACUAAAUUAUCUCUAACCUAGGAAAAAACUGAGGUGAGGAAAAAGAGGUGAACGUGAAAGAAACUUAUUUUUGGUACCUGCAGGUUAUCGACUGAUUCGAAUGUUAUCUGUGAAUGUUUUUAUUUUUAUUUACUUGCAGUAAAGUGCCGGCUUUUGCAUUUAAAUCAUCUGGUCUCUGGCUCAAUUGUAUUUGUUACCCCACUCCAUUAGAACCUAGAACUGGUCCAGUAGUGUAAAUAGUGUGUAUCUGUGAUAUAUAUGCUACAUUGGCAUGCCGAUGUUAGCAUUUAGCUCAAAGCACUGCUUUGUCUAAUUACAGCUUCACAGAGCCGUUAGCCUGGCCAUAAACUGUCAGUCUUGUUACUUCAUAAAUUACCUAAAUGACAAAUCAAUAAAACUUGACGUCGAUGAAUUUUCUCAGAAUAAUCACUUUUUAGUAGUGCCAAAAGGUUUUUUCGAGAUGACCCAGACCUGUGCACAAUCGAUCAAUACUGAUUGCCAGGCAAUGCAUGCCAUUUAGAAUUGUGUCCGACUUCAUCCCGACUUGCUCAGAUGUGAUGCAAAAGUGGACAAUGAUAUUCUCACAAGAUCGGGUCAGCCAUAGUUUUUAGAGUCAGGCGCUGCAGUUGCUAACCCAGGGCAUGAUGGGAAAUGCCUGGCUCUCACAUGAUCGAACACAGGUUUAAAUGUUGACUCAGCAAUAUGACAUUUUAUAUAAACUUUUCAUUUUUGUUGAAUUAAAGAGAGGUUUGGAUUUUAUUUGUCUGAGUUGAAGGUUUAUUCUUUUAACAGAAUAGGCUACAUGUUGUGUGGCUGAUGGUGACAUUUAGUAGUCAGAGAGACUAAAUACAUUCAUAUCACAGAUGAUAAACUAUACAUAGGCUAGUCUACUGUAUACUAACAUUGGACUGUUUAAAUCAUUGAAGUAUUUAGCAACACAAAGACUUGUGGUAAGUGGAAUGUGAGGGAAAACAUCUGACAGAAUGAAAUCCUGACUAUGAUGUAUUGGACCGAUCUUUAAUGAAAGCUGCGUCUUGUAUUUCUUUCCUCUGUGUUUCACUAUUAGACUCAUAUUUUCAAUUUGUUUAUGCAGUUUGCGGGGAAGAGGUCUGAUGAACUGAUUCAUAAAGGCCCACAGCAGCAAACUGCUAUGUUGCUGAUGUACAUGAGAAUUCAUCUAAAAUGGAGGUUGAACCAUGAACAGAAAUCACAGAUCGUCUGUAAAGCAUUUUAAUAGGCUACUCUGUCAUAAUUACAUCAAUUGGAGACAGCAAACAAAGUGAUAUGGGUCAUUUGGGACAUUUAAUAAAUCAACAUCAGAUCUAA